CACAGGAUUGACUAAAGAACUUUAUCUGCCUGCACAGUGUGACAGAGACUUCUGCAUUUUGCCAGCAGUUUUGUGCUCAUUUUUUGCUCUGUCUCUCCUGAGGGCAAAAACAUUUAUUGUGUGUUUUGGAAAAAUAUUACAAAUUGUGCUAAUCGCUGUUGCUUUGUUGUUGAUUCUGCUCCUGAUAAGGGACAGCCCAACUCCUGAAGAAGAGUCUUUAGAGCAAACUCACAGAUCCCUGAGCACCUGUAUGUGGCAGGCAGAUUGAAGGCAGCCACAGCCAGGAAAACUUUCUGCUGGAACCUGAGUCUGGGAUCUUUUCCCUCCAUGGAGAAAACCUUUGUCCUUCAGGUGAUGGCAGAUGCCUAAAAGGAAACCUUCUUUGUCUUGGGAUGAUGGUAGAAGAGGUCCAGGGGCUUCACGAGCUGGAUAUUGCACCUACAGGCCUUGGAGUCAGAGAUAAGUAUCAGAUAAUUCACUCCUCCAGAAAGCACUGCCUUAUAUUCAAAAUGGAGAGGGGGAGCAGCAGCCAGGAAGAAUGCUGGGAGUGUGGCAGGAGCUGGGUACCCACCAUAAAGCUGGGGAACAAUUUUCCUGGGACUCUCAGCCCUACAGAUGGGUAAAUGCUCGCCUCUCCCUGUACUCUGUAGCUGCACAUCUUCCUCACUUCAAAACAUAACUUUCCCUCCUUCAGACUGAGUGGAUCCAGGGCCAUCUCCCCAGCCCUUGGGCUGUUUUAAUAGAGGCAGCAGCUUCACUAACCACCCCAGGUGGGUGAAGCAUCCCCCUGGCAUGCAGGUUUGGGUUUCUCUCUCCAGCAGCAUUCUGCUCCUAGUGAGCUGAUGGCACUGGAGCAGUGCUGUAGGAGAGUAAGGCAGCACAAUACUGCUGUGGUUUUGGAGGUUUUCAGGAAUAAUUAGCAAAAUCCAAUUAAGAAAAGUGAAAUACAGUAGGCUCAACCAGCUGCAUCAGCGUGUGAAAUGGAGCUAUGCAAAAUAAAACAAAGCAUUUUACAGUGGCA
rnacentral:lncRNA from 1 species